rnacentral:rRNA from 1 species
UACGGAGGGGGCUAGCGUUGUUCGGAAUCACUGGGCGUAAAGCGCACGUAGGCGGACCAUUAAGUCGGGGGUGAAAUCCCGGGGCUCAACCCCGGAACUGCCUUCGAUACUGGCGGUCUGGAGGUCGAGAGAGGCGAGUGGAAUUCCGAGUGUAGAGGUGAAAAUCGUAGAUAUUCGGAGGAACACCAGUGGCGAAGGCGGGUCGCUGGCUCGAUACUGACGCUGAGGUGCGAAAGCGUGGGGAGCAAACAGG